GGCGGGCGCAGGAUGAGGGCGGCCAUUGCUGGGGCUCUGCUUCGGGGAGGAGGACGCUGAGGAGGCGCCGAGCCGCGCAGCGCUGCGGGGGAGGCGCCCGCGCCGACGCGGGGCCCAUGGCCAGGACCACCAGCCAGCUGUUCUACGGUCUGGGGACGAUGGUUUAAGAAUUUAUGCGUUGUAUGCGAUGUGCAGUGGGUGAUGGAAGAACGUCUACAUAGCUUGCAAAAUUUGAUUUAAAAGGCAAAUAUUUUAAAUGAAGGAAAACCCAAGAAGUUUACUUGAUUCCUUAUCUUCCAGGAUGCGACUUUUAUUUAUUUAUUUUGAUGGAGUCUCGCUCCCGUCGCGCAGGCUGGAGUGCAGUGACGUGAUCUCGACCCGGGAACCUCCACCUCCCGGGUUCAAGCGAUUCUCCUGCCACAGCCUCCCGAGUAGCUGGGAUUACAGGCGUGUGCCACCAUGCGUGGCUAAUUUUUGUAUUUUUAGUAGAGAAGGGGAAAGGUGUGGGCCCUCUUCUGAGAAAAAGGCAGAGUGACAUUGAAUUUUGUAACUACGUCAGGAGGCUCUUGAACUUUCUGCAGCUCACUCGUGGACUUUGUAGAGAUGCGUGGUAAUCUGAAGUGUUAAGGAAGAAAGUUGGGAAAAAUGUUGGAGGGUUGAAAGGGAUGCCUUUCGCUAUUUCGACAUGUGUGGCUGUACCCCAGAGUAGCCCGGGUAACAUAAAAAUAUGAAUUGUUUUUAUUGGCCAGGCUUGGCCAGGCUCAGUGGAGGCUGGGGCCGAGAGUCAUGGCGAAGUUUGUGAGGUUAAUCUGCACCCAGUGAUAGUCAUGGCGAAGUUUGUGAGGUUAAUCUGCACCCAGUGACAGUCAUGGCGAAGUUUGUGAGGUUAACUCGCACCCAGUAACGCUGUUGUAAUGCAAGGUGUGUAUUUGGUGUCAUCUACGGGAAGAAGAAAGAGCAAAUUUUCUCAUGGCCUUGGCAGUUCCACAUGAUGAACAUUUAAUAUCUGCAGUUUUCUUCGCAUAAGACGGCUUUUUUGCACAAAAACAUUGGAAUCCAGUGAGCAAGAAAGAUAGAAUACAAGAUAGAUUUCCACAUGAGGAUGUGUCACGAACGAGGCUUUUGCAUCUCUGUCAGCUGGAUUCCCCCAUGUGUACGUAUGUGAGAACAUGCCGUGUUUCCUGUCCAUAAUGGUAGAGGCAGCCCUGAUACUGGAUUUUCACCUGAGGAUGGAUAGACCUUCAGGGUUCACGUGGGUUUGCAUCUGGACUUCAGGGUGUCCCUGUAGGCCCCGUGUGAGAAGCCCCCUUCCCAGUGAACUCUCCCGUGUGUGUACGCGUGGACAGCCAACAGGGGGAGCAGUGCGAGCGUGAAGGCAGACAGUGGCCUGGCCCAGUCUGAUGCUAAGUGGGCCAGAGGCAGUGAGUACCAUUUCUUGAUCUGACUGCUCAAGACAGGUGCUUCCCUAGGUACUUUCACACCUCAUUGCGAGGUAGGUGUUGUUCCCAUUUUACAGGUGCAGAAGCUGAGCUGCAGAGGCGUUAAGUACCUGCCUCAUAAGUGGUAGAGACUCCAGUGUCACCCUGCCCUUCAAGUUCGGAGCCCCCGAGGGAGGGUCUGCCGGGCAGCUCAGCCCAGCACUCUGUAAGGAAAUCUUCAGUGCCACUGCCCAGGAUGUCUUCCCGGGGAUUGGGCCUGAAUGUCUUGACCGUGCUGUGCUGGAGGUAGGAGGGGUGUUUUCAUAUGGAAGAACUGUACAUAUUUCUUUGGCAGAUGGCUGAACUCUGUGACCCCAGGGCCUGUUUCAGCCUCCUGCUGUCAGAAAGCAGCUGUUUGGAAAGAGGCUGUGAUUCGGCCUUGUUUGAGGGCCGAUACUCUGAAUGGGUGAGGCUUGGCAUCCUUCCUUUGGAACAAAGAAACAUGUAAUGAUUUUGCUGAAGGUAGAAUUGGGGGACUAGACAGAGUGGCCUCCUGCUCUCCCUAGGGUGGGGUCUUUUGCAAAGGUGGCUGCAUCCUUAGGGGAAGGUGAGGGGAGAAGCAGGGGAGCAUGGAGGGAAGUGGCUUUCAAUUUUCUCCCUCCUUUUGGAGAGAGAAAGCCUCUUUAUGUGGCUGGUCUGGUGCAUAGUGUGAUGUAUUCCUGUCCCCAGCGAUGCCCCGACAGCCAGUCCAAGCUGAGUCUAGAGCUGGCAAGGUGAGGUCCCAGUAGUAAGAG
rnacentral:lncRNA from 1 species